GAUGAACGCUAGCUACAGGCUUAACACAUGCAAGUCGAGGGACCGGCGCACGGGUGAGUAACACGUAUCACACCUGCCCUUUACUCGGGGAUAGCCUUUCGAAGGAAAGAUUAAUACCCGAUAUAAAGGAUGGGGAUGCGUUCCAUUAGGUUGUUGGUUAGGUAACGGAUCACCAAGCCUUCGAUGGAUAGGGGUUCUGAGAGGAAGGUCCGCAACAUUGGAACUGAGACACGGUCCAAACUCCUACGGGAGGCAGCAGUGAGGAAUAUUGGUCAAGGGGCGCGAGCCUGAGGCAGCCAUGCCGCGUGUAUGAAGAAGGCUUCGGGUUGUAAAGUACUUUCAGUCGGGAGGCGUUACCGACAGAAGAAGCACCGGCUAACUCCGUGCCAGCCGCCGCGGUAAUAC
rnacentral:rRNA from 1 species